AACGAACGCUGGCGGCGCGCCUAAUACAUGCAAGUCGAGCGAGAAGACGUAGCAAUACGUUUGUAAAGCGGCGAACGGGUGAGGAAUACAUGGGUAACCUACCCUCGAGUGGGGAAUAACUAGCCGAAAGGUUAGCUAAUACCGCGUACGCUCCUUGGACUUCGGUUCAGGGAGGAAGACGAUACCGUGGGUAUCGCGCUCUUGGAUGGGCUCAUGUCCUAUCAGCUUGUUGGUGAGGAACGGCUCACCAAGGCUUCGACGGGUAGCUGGUCUGAGAGGACAAUCAGCCACACUGGCACUGCGACACGGGCCAGACUCCUACGGGAGGCAGCAAGUAAGGAAUAUUGCG
rnacentral:rRNA from 1 species